GGAAGUUUUGUCCAACUGUGAUGUGACAUAAAGCCACCAAUUGAAAUCCAAUUGGUAUAGUUUAAGUGGAACCAUGGCUUGCAAUAAAGUGGUAUUUUGUCUCUCAAAAUAGCUAUUUGGCUUAGUUAGCUAGCAAUAUGGCUUGGUUAGGCAGAGAUCUGGUUCCAUUACUUAAUUUUUGGACUCAAAAUACCCUUCAAAAGGACAGGUGGCAUUUUAUUAAGCAAGGGCAAAACUGAUUUUACCAUUGUCAUUAGUUUUCUUAUAUUGUAAU
rnacentral:lncRNA from 1 species